rnacentral:rRNA from 1 species
UACAGAGGUCCCAAGCGUUGUUCGGAUUCAUUGGGCGUAAAGGGUGCGUAGGCGGCGCGGUAAGUCGGGUGUGAAAUCUCGGAGCUUAACUCCGAAACUGCAUUCGAUACUGCCGUGCUUGAGGACUGGAGAGGAGACUGGAAUUUACGGUGUAGCGGUGAAAUGCGUAGAGAUGGGGGAGAACACUCGUGGCGAAGGCGGCCAGCUAGACCAGUUCUGACACUGAGGCGCGAUAGCGUGGGGAGCAAACAGG